AAUAAGUAAUCGUGAGUUUCAGUGUCCAACGUUUCACCGUCCGUCUUAUUUAAAAUUAUUUUAUAAUUAAUAUUUUUUAUUGUUAUCAGAUAAUAAAACACAAAUAAUACUUUAUGCGUGCCUGAAUUUUUUAAAUAAGAUAAAUAGUUAAACGUAUAAAUGUACUUAAA
rfam:Oryza glaberrima chromosome 10 Oglab10_0128_7, whole genome shotgun sequence.